AGAAUCAACGCUGGCGGCGUGCCUAACACAUGCAAGUCGCACGAGAAAGGGGAGCAAUCCCUGAGUACAGUGGCGCACGGGUGAGUAACACGUGAAUCAUCUACCUCCGAGUGGGGAAUAACUGAGAGAAAUCUUAGCUAAUACCGCAUAAUACCCACGGGUCAAAGCAGUAAUGCGCUUGGAGAGGAGUUCGCGGCAGAUUAGUUAGUUGGCGGGGUAAUGGCCCACCAAGACGAUGAUCUGUAUCCGG
rnacentral:rRNA from 1 species